UACAGAGGUCCCAAGCGUUGUUCGGAUUCACUGGGCGUAAAGGGUGCGUAGGUGGUGAGGUAAGUCGGAUGUGAAAUCUCCGGGCUCAACCCGGAAAUGGCAUUGGAAACUACCUUGCUGGAGGGUUUGAGGGGGGAUUGGAAUACUUGGUGUAGCAGUGAAAUGCGUAGAUAUCAGGAAGAACACCCGUGGCGAAGGCGGUUCUCUGGGACGGUACUGACGCUGAGACGCGAAAGCGUGGGGAGCGAACAGG
rnacentral:rRNA from 1 species